GAUGAACGCUAGCGAUAGGCUUAACACAUGCAAGUCGAGGGGCAGCAUGGUCUUAGCUUGCUAAGACUGAUGGCGACCGGCGCACGGGUGCGUAACGCGUAUGCAACUUGCCUCACAGAGGGGGAUAACCCGUCGAAAGACGGACUAAUACCGCGUACACUCCAUCUUGGGCAUCCAAGGUAGAGGAAAUGAAAUUCGCUGUGAGAUAGGCAUGCGUCCCAUUCGCUAGUUGGUGAGGUAACGGCCCACCAAGGCGACGAUGGGUAGGGGAACUGAGAGGUUGAACCCCCACACUGGUACUGAGACACGGACCAGACGCCUACGGGAGGCAGCAGUGAGGAAUAUUGGUCAAUGGGCGAGAGCCUGAACCAGCCAAGUCGCGUGAAGGAUGACUGUCUUAUGGAUUGUAAACUUCUUUUAUACGGGAGUAACAAGAGUCACGUGUGACUCCCUGCAUGUACCGUAUGAAUAAGCAUCGGCUAACUCCGUG
rnacentral:rRNA from 1 species